rnacentral:misc_RNA from 1 species
GAGGCGCGCCUUUAAUAACUAUGGGUGGAGGUCACAAACUAAUGAGUGAAAUAUCUGAAAAGUUUGUAUAAAGGGGUUUAUAUGGAUUUAACAGCUAUAUAUUAUAGAAUAAGUGAUAAAAGGAAGAAUAAUGAAUUUCACACUUUAGGGAUCGUCAUUGGCAUGAUUAAGACUCAAAAACUAGAUGGACAAACUCUUGGUUGAGUGUUUUAUGGCUGUUUUAUAGUUGUAUAUAUCUGCAUUGUAAUGAUGUCACACACAGUAUAGGAAAAAAGUUUAGGCAAAAUUUAAUUGAUCAAUAAGGUCUUAUACAUAUCUGCAUCCUAGUAAUGUCAGGGUACUAUAACCUAGUCACAUGGGAGGUGAGAUGCAUGGGAGGUGAGAUGCACAAUUAAUAAAAGGAGGAAGUAUAAAAAAAUAUAAUGUGAUUUCCGUUUCGACAUUGGGGCCUAUAGUUCAACUUUUGGCAUUUUAUUGCCUUGCGGUUUACUGUUAGCAAUUUUAGGUCAAAUCCUCUCAAUACUGUUAAUUUUUGUUGAUGUGGCGAUGUUAAAUUCAUAAAAUAAUAUUUUUAAUUAUUAUGGGUCUUUCUUCAAAUUAAAAUUAAUUUAUUAAUUUAUGUUCAAAACAAAAAUGAAUUGUGAUUAAAAAAAUAUAACAGAAUUUUUAACAAAAUUAAAAAACAAAUUAAAAAUUGAUAAUAAAAGCAAAAAAGUAAAAUAUUAAAAUCUAAAGUAAAACUGUUAGCAUCUUCUUCUUCAAUUCUCAAUGGCCAUCCCAAUGCCCCAUGCCUGAGAAAAAUUCAUAAAAGCCUAGAAAGACAUUAAUUGACCCAGAUUUCCAUAGUAAGUGGGAACAAUUUAAUUUUAAAAUGAAAAGCAUGAAUGUUUAGAACUAUAAGAAACCAGAAGCAUAUUUAACAAAUAAAUAAAUGCAUGGAUCUGAUGAUCAAGUUAUUGCCACAUUUCAAUCUAGCAAAAUCAAAUGAAUGGAAAAAUUCUUUCAAAAGAGAAGGAAAGAACAAAAAAACUCAAUAGGUUCAAUAGGGUAAUUGUUGUAACUUCCAGGAAUAUAAAUUUCCAUCCAAGAAUGCCAAGUAAUGAAUCAACUCUUUUUGGCAGCAAUCUCAACUUAUCAGCAACCAAAAUUUAAAAAGUUUUUUCAAUGCAACUGGGAAAAAAAAAUCCAGAUAGAUUAGGCAAGCAAAAUCGAACCUUUCCACUGAAGUAGAUCUUCUCUAUAGUGGCAGAAACAUGAAUCUCUCCCCUUCUAAUUGCGUGUGUGUAGAAGUUUUUGUUGCUUGCUCGGCUUGGCUUUAAUGGUUUAUGUGCCAAGAGCUGUAUUUGGGAAUAUGCUAGGUUGGGAUCAUAGUUACCAUAUUCGCUCAAACCCCCUAGGAACUGCGAUCUGGUUCGUGAGUUCUGAAUCGCGAGUCAUCUGCAUUCCAAAACGCUAGGGGACGCGAUUUGGUUCUCCAAAAUGGAGGUUCCAACGAUAAUAAAAAGAAGAAAGGAAAGAAGAGAGAAAGAAAGAAGAAAAAUCAUAAGGCAUGCACAUGUGUAAGCAAUAGGCACAAGAAGAAGAAGAAGAAGAUAAGGUUAUUGUUAAUCAGAAAGAAAGGCCAACAAGAUUGAAUCUUAUCACAACCAGAGUUCGUUCACAUUCUUCAUCGCCAUCAACUGAGAAACGUAGACCCAAAAAUAUCAGAAAUUCAUGUUCAUCAAGGAAGCUGCAGAAAUACAUGAGCUGCAGGAGCUUGGGAGAAUUAGAACUGGAAGAAUUGAAAGGCUUUAUGGAUCUUGGAUUUAUAUUCAAGAAAGAGAACAUAAGCCCAAGAAUGAUAAGUGUAGUCCCUGGUUUGCUGAGACUAGGAUUAUACAAAAAUAAAUACAACACCAAACUCAUUACCAGCGAAGUACCUGAAGAUGAUGAUGAUAUACAGAGAGAAAGAGACAAGCAGGAAGAAGAGAAGGGGGUCAUUAGGCCAUACUUAUCAGAGGCCUGGCUAAUAAAAAGACCCGAUUCGCCGCUAUUAAAUCUAAGGUUGCCAAGAGUAUCCGCAGCUGUUGACAUGAAAAAACACCUCAAGUUCUGGGCUAGAACUGUUGCAUCUGUAAUUCAACAAGAAUCUUGAGAGGAAUUGAUGUCGAGAAGAUAUGAUAGAAGAUAUAUUCUCUUCAUUCUACUAAACAAUAGCUGAAAGAAGAAAGAUGAAAAACCAAAUCUCGAUCACAGAUUCUAGUCCAUCGAAAGCUCCAACUGUAAAAAAGAAAGAGAGAGCUUGUAAUAUGUAAAUAAAGAGCGGUGUAUACAAAUAAAGGAGUGGUGAAAUGUACUUUUGUUUGCUUUUGGUUAAUGUGUUAAACUCAUAUAAAGAUAAACGAAAUAAGCUAGAGGAAGAUGAGAUGAACAAUUACAGUAUAAGAGGUGUGUCCUACCAUGCAUGAUGAGGUUGAGAAAGAACAAUGAGAAGAUUCUUUUCUUAGCAUCAGGCAAAAGACCCCUCAAUGCCUUGGUAUAAUUUGUCCCUAUCUAUACAUAUAGAUUUGUUAUAUAUAGAGACAUACAUGGAGUCAUUUUUCCUAACAUUGUUAAAUUCAUUUGACAUUUAAUACCUAGGAUGCUGGACCUGAAACAACUUUGGAGACAUGUAAUGAUAAUUUACAGUAUGGGUCCCAAUUAAUGCACAACUACAGG